rnacentral:rRNA from 1 species
GACGAACGCUGGCGGCGUGCUUAACACAUGCAAGUCGAACGCUGAAGCUCAGCUUUUGUUGGGUGGAUGAGUGGCGAACGGGUGAGUAACACGUGAGUAACCUGCCUCCUUCUUUGGGAUAACGCCCGGAAACGGGUGCUAAUACUGGAUAUUCACUGGUCUUCGCAUGGGGGUUGGUGGAAAGGGUUUUUCUGGUGGGGGAUGGGCUCGCGGCCUAUCAGCUUGUUGGUGGGGUGAUGGCCUACCAAGGCUUUGACGGGUAGCCGGCCUGAGAGGGUGACCGGUCACAUUGGGACUGAGAUAUGGCCCAGACUCCUACGGGAGGCAGCAGUGGGGAAUAUUGCACAAUGGGCGCAAGCCUGAUGCAGCGACGCCGCGUGAGGGAUGGAGGCCUUCGGGUUGUGAACCUCUUUCGCUCAUGGUCAAGCCGCAACAAUGGUUGUGGUGAGGGUAGUGGGUAAAGAAGCGCCGGCUAACUACGUG